GUUUGAAACAUAGGAGCUAUACGAGUUUCUUGAUCUUCAGCUUCAUAGUGACUUGAAUGAGGAAAUGAUGAGGCACUAUGAGAUGGUUUACUUAAUUCGUGAAAAACAUAAUGAAGAGGCCAAAAGCGUCAAUGAGAAAGUCCAAGAAUUUCUGAAGGAGAAGAAAUAAAAAGUUUGGAGGUUUAGUGACUGAGGGAUGAGUAGACUGGCAUAUAAGAUCUACAAGGCAGAGAAUGCACACUACACAUAUUGAUGAACUUUGAGAUAGAAGCCAAACACCUAAACGAAUUCAAGGAAAUGUUAGAUGGUGUGAAAAGGUGAUUAGACAACUCAUGAUGAAAUGCGAUGAGGCCAUUAUAAAAGACUGCCCUCUAUCUCUCAAGUUUCACUAUGUUUGGGCAAGUAUGAAUGAUGAUGAUGAGGAAGGCGAAGAUGAGUAUGAAGUAGAUGAAGAUGGUAAUGUCGUUAUGGUGGUGUAUGAAAAUGAAGAAGGAGAAGAAGAUGGGGCUGAUGAGCUGGAACAAGGACAUGACCAAUCAAAUAACGCCAUAAGAGAAAAUCGGACAAUAGCUAACGUAGGAGGAGGUUAGAGCUGU